CAGUAGCCACGGUAAUACGUAGGUGGCAAGCGUUGUCCGGAAUUAUUGGGCGUAAAGGGCUCGCAGGCGGUUUCUUAAGUCUGAUGUGAAAGCCCCCGGCACAACCGGGGAGGGUCAUUGGAAACUGGGAAACUUGAGUGCAGAAGAGGAGAGUGGAGUUCCACGUGUAGCGGUGAAAUGCGUAGAGAUGUGGAGGAACACCAGUGGCGAAGGCGACUCUCUGGUCUGUAACUGACGCUGAGGAGCGAAAGCGUGGGGAGCGAACAGGAUUAGAUACCCGGGUAGUCCCUGUCUCUUAUAA
rnacentral:rRNA from 1 species